UCCUACGGGAGGCAGCAGUGGGGAAUUUUGGACAAUGGGCGCAAGCCUGAUCCAGCAAUGCCGCGUGCAGGAUGAAGGCCUUCGGGUUGUAAACUGCUUUUGUACGGAACGAAAAGGUUCUCUCUAAUACAGGGGGCAUAUGACGGUACCGUAAGAAUAAGCACCGGCUAACUACGUGCCAGCAGCCGCGGUAAUACGUAGGGUGCGAGCGUUAAUCGGAAUUACUGGGCGUAAAGCGUGCGCAGGCGGUUUUGUAAGACAGAGGUGAAAUCCCCGGGCUCAACCUGGGAACUGCCUUUGUGACUGCAAGGCUGGAGUGCGGCAGAGGGGGAUGGAAUUCCGCGUGUAGCAGUGAAAUGCGUAGAUAUGCGGAGGAACACCGAUGGCGAAGGCAAUCCCCUGGGCCUGCACUGACGCUCAUGCACGAAAGCGUGGGGAGCAAACAGGAUUAGAUACCCUGGUAGUCCACGCCCUAAACGAUGUCAACUGGUUGUUGGGGGUUAAUUCACUCAGUAACGAAGCUAACGCGUGAAGUGACC
rnacentral:rRNA from 1 species